GGCUUGCAAAGGAUUUAACUUUUUUUGGGGGGGGGAGAGAUUAGUUCCUAGUUAAGAAGUGGGAGAUUUCACAUUUAAAAAAAAAAAAAAUGUUUUUCAAGCUUCCCUGAAACAUCAGUUUCCAUUUAGUGAUGGUUAGCACUGGGCAGUGGCUGCCUCUCGUAGCUAAAGUAUUUGCUCACCAGUUCACGGAUACUUCUCUGCCUCUGAUUUUAGGCUGCACUUGAGCUCAUCUCUAGAGAGUUCAGGAGCAGAGCAAACAACUUCAGGGCUGAUCCAUGUGCAGCAGCAGUCAGAACCAGUGCCUGCACCCCGCAGUAGUUACCCCAGUAGUUAUCUAGGGUCAUCACUCAACUUCCCUACUCUUUCACCUGAAACAAAGUCUGCAGAGUAAUAAAACCCAGAACUCUUCCCCAGGAAGAGGCCAGAGGGCUGCUGUACAGGAUCUAUGACAGGAGAACAUAUAGGCCAGUCACAUUGAGGGAGCCACUGAGAGAGCAGGGGUAGCAUAGCAGAUUCUGAAAAGUGUGGGAGCUGGGGGAGGUUGUGGCAAGGGCCUCAACCUCAGAUGCCUUCUAGGGCCACAUAGAUAAUGAACAAAACUAGAGAAAUACAUUAAUAUUUUCAAUAGAGAUGAGUCAUUAGAACAUUAGAACAUUUUUUUCAACACUCAAAACAACCUUUAAUGUGCUUAAAACAAAUCACUUUACAAAGACUAUUAACACUUUUAAAAGCAAACUGGACACAGUAUACAAAUUAAAACAACUACACAAAAAAUUUACUGUGACAUGGUCUGAUCUUCCAAAAUGAACUUUACAAACCUGAGUGAUUUAUUAAGAUUCUGGAUAUUGAUAAAGCGUGCCUAGUUAUAUUUGCACAGCUCUGAAGGUUACACUGAGAACAGGUGCUCAGAACUGAGUUCUUCAACUUCCCGUUCCCCAGGAGCCCACCUGCGGCCUCACUCCCCAGAAGCGUGUCAUGAAAUAGACCCAUUAGGACAGUUUUUUUUGUGACUAUUAAGAGUAUACAGGAACAUACAUUCUAUGCACUAUAAUAAUAAGGGAAGGAAAUGGAGAAAAGUAAAUAAUCCCUGCUGUAUUUUCUCAACAGUUGCUUUCUUUUUCAAAAUUGUUAAUAUUUUGAGGUUCUAGACUUUUAAAUCUCAGCAUUUCCGAAGACUAUGAGUUUUGGAUCAAAGUAUACCUAGAUCUGAAAUUCAUUCCUGCCACUGAGAGCUACAGUUUUGCUAUUUAAAUUUAAGCUGAACCUUUCUUUCUACUUAUAACAUGAGCAGGAAAUAACAACUGGAUCUGGCUCAAGCUCCAGAUUAUGUCCAAAUGACUUGGUAGACAAGAAAAAUUCUACAGUCUUCUCUUUCAACAAAUUGUUUCAAGUACUGAAUUUCCAUAAGAGAUUUCAUCUGGAGACUUGGUUUGCUGAUCAACAUUUCAUGACUACUGGGAUUUAACAUAUCCAAUACAUGACUGAACUUGGCUAGUAAUACUAAGCUGGAGGCAAUGUGUACUGAGGUCUUCAAAGGUGACAGAGACAUUUGAAGGCACCUGGAUCUGUGAAUCACCAGCUUGGAGAAGAAACUUCCAUCCUAACUUUUGCUUGCUGAAGUGAUGAAAUUGAGGACUGACCAAUGGAAUAAUGGUGGAAGUUAUUUAUAUACAGUUGACCAUUGAAAAACACAGGGCUGGGAGCAGAGUAUUCCAUUGUUUUUUGACAGAGUCCAAAGAUGGAAGGAGGUGCAUCUGGGUAGCUCAAUCGGUUAAUCAGCUCAGAUCAUGAUCCUGGGGUCCUAAGAUUUGAGGAAGUGCUAAAACCAAUACUGCCUGUCCAAUAUUUGGACAAACUUAUUAGCUUUGGUGUGAUAACAGCUGGAAAAAAACCCUCAAGAUCAAGGAGACCCUAUGAGAUCCUUGUUCCUUGUCUUGAGAAGAUCGAAAGAAGCAUUUGAGUCCAGAGACAUUUUUGUGCGUGAGCUUCAGGAUAGCAAGCUCAGAUGCUUUCAAGGAAAAUAACAAAAAUGAAUAAAGGAGUCUCAUGUGACGUGAAAGUAUCAGUACCUCUAAAAGUAACAGCAAUCUCCAUAAAAAGGGCUGAUCCAACACUGCCAGGGUUUCAAGUAUCUGGAAGGAAGUCAUUCUGAUCCAGAUCAUUUCUACACAUAACCAAGAAAGAACAAUGACUCUACGUAAGCUGGAGCCACAGUUGAAUGAAGCAUGACCAAAAGCCAAAAGGGAGAAAUGGAAUUAUAUCCAAACAAAACCCCUGAAGUUAAAAAACAAUGCAACAGCUUUCUUACAAAACUGAAUGUAUUAAUUAUGUAAUAAGAAGUCAUGAAGAACCACUAGUUUGAAAUAAAUCAUUCAAGUGGUCCAUAUGGAUCCUGGCAUAUGAAAAAUAUACAUUGAGAUAUAGCAGAUGAGAAGGACAACUCAAGAUCAAGAGUCAUAAUCCUCAUUGUAUGCAUCGGCUAUACUCUGAUAAAAAAUAAUAUCCAUGUGGCCAGCCAGAAAUGCUCCACCAAAUUAUAUAGCGGAUUCUGCUUAUAAUGUGUUAUACCUUGUGAUCUACAUUGUUCUGGGAUGAAAAGUCACACAAUCAAACACAAAAGAUUAAUUCAUUGGACGUCAAAUAUACAGCAUCACUCACAAUAGCCAAUAUAUGGAAACAACUUAAGUGUCUAUGAAUGGAUGAAUGGAUAAAGAUUUGUAUAUAUACAAAGAAAUAUUCAGCCAAGAGAAAAAAAGAAAUCCUGCCAUUUGCUACAACAAAGAUGGACUCUGACGGCAUCAUCUUAAAUCUCCAUGUGAGCCAAGACCCAUUUUUAAAUCGCGUUCAAUAAAAUUGCUAAAUUUAUGUUAUUUUCCAGUUAAGAAUGAUGUUUACAAUCUAAGACAACUAUCCAAAGUACAAAUUGAAAAUUUUACAUGCUAACAUCUUUAAAAUAAUACAAGAUGCAUUGCAAGCAUUAAUAUGGUCUGU